UCCUCGGUAGCUCAGUGGUAGAGCAAACGGCUGUUAACCGUUCGGUCGCUGGUUCGAGUCCAGCACGGGGAGCCA
rnacentral:tRNA from 1 species